GGGGAUGUAGCUUAGUGGCAGAGCACUUGCAUGCAUGACCUUGGGUUCAAUUUCCAGCGCCCCCU
rnacentral:tRNA from 1 species